UACAGAGGGGGCAAGCGUUGUUCGGAAUUACUGGGCGUAAAGGGCGCGUAGGCGGCCCGCUAAGUCGAACGUGAAAUCCCUGGGCUCAACCCAGGAACUGCGUCCGAUACUGGCAGGCUUGAAUCCGGGAGAGGGAUGUGGAAUUCCAGGUGUAGCGGUGAAAUGCGUAGAUAUCUGGAGGAACACCGGUGGCGAAGGCGGCAUUCUGGACCGAAACUGACGCUGAUGCGCGAAAGCCAGGGGAGCAAACGGG
rnacentral:rRNA from 1 species